rnacentral:lncRNA from 1 species
UAUUUGGUUGGGUUCGGGCCCGCUAACAGACCGCCGAACGAACAGAGUUUUUCCUGUACAUCCUAGGCGUCGCAAUCAAUACAAUACAAGAGGUUCCAACUAGGAACAGUAUUCAAUCAUAGAUUGCAUAAGGAAGUGUCAAAAACAUAAAACAUCUAAGCUAUUACAAGCAUUAACACCACAUUCUUUUUACAUAUUAUAUUUUCGUUUUCUUUUCUUCCAAAUACAAUCAAGAUUACAACAAUAAUGCUUCUCUACAACCCCUAGU